rnacentral:rRNA from 1 species
CCUACGGGAGGCAGCAGUGGGGAAUAUUGGUCAAUGGGCGCAAGCCUGACCCAGCGACGCCGCGUGAAGGAAGAAGGCUUUCGGGUUGUAAACCUCUUUUGACAGGGAAGAGUAGAUGACCUUACGUGCAGAAUACGCUACGUCUAACUAAGUACCAGCAGCCGCGGUAGUACGUAGGUGCGGUGUGUUGUCCGGAUGUAGUGGGUUUAACGGUUGUGUAGCCGGGUUGACAAGUCAGAUGUGAAAUCCUGCGGCUUAACCGUAGAAUUGCUUUUGAAAGUGAUGAUCUUGAGUACAGGAGAGGUAGGUGGAAUUCCUAGUGUAGCGGUGAAAUGCGUAGAUAUUAGGAGGAACACCAGUGGCGAAGGCGGCCUGCUGGACUGUAACUGACGGUGAGGCGCGAAAGCGUGGGGAGCAAACAGGAUUAGAUACCCCAGUAGUC